GGCGAAUAUAGUAUUGGUCGUAAACAAGGUAAUCAAAAUACACAAAAAUUUAAUAUAGCACUCAAUUAAAGACAAGUUCUUAAGCUACGUUUACACGCUGCGGUUAAUCGUGUAUAUAGGAUUCGUUUUCUGGUAGCCUGCGAACAGGCUCACUCCUCUAUUCCUCGCGCCGCCCGUAACCCAGGGCCUGUUUGCAGGCUAUGGCGUAUGUCAUUGAGUACACACGCCUAAGCUGGCUACAUUUG